AUUGAACGCUGGCGGCAGGCCUAACACAUGCAAGUCGAGCGAGCGGCGGACGGGUGAGUAAUGUAUGGGGGCCGCGCGAUAGAGGGGGAUAACUAUUGGAAACGGUGGAGAAAACCGCAUACUGUCGGAUGACCCAUAUGGGAUUAGCUAGUCGGUAAGGUAAUGGCUUACCUAGGCGACGAUCCCUAGCUGGUCUGAGAGGAUGAUCAGCCACACUGGGACUGAGACACGGCCCAGACUCCUACGGAGGCAGCAGUGGGGAAUAUUGCACAAUGGGCGCAAGCCUGAUGCAGCCAGGCCGCGUGUAUGAAGAAGGCCCUAGGGUUGUAAAGUACUUUCAGUCGGGAGGCGUUACCGACAGAAGAAGCACCGGCUAACUCCGUGCCAGCAGCCGCGGUAAUUC
rnacentral:rRNA from 1 species